CGGAGCUUGCUCCACCGAAAGAAAAGGAGUGGCGAACGGGUGAGUAACACGUGGGUAACCUGCCCAUCAGAAGGGGAUAACACUUGGAAACAGGUGCUAAUACCGUAUAACAAUCGAAACCGCAUGGUUUCGGUUUGAAAGGCGCUUUUGCGUCACUGAUGGAUGGACCCGCGGUGCAUUAGCUAGUUGGUGAGGUAACGGCUCACCAAGGCAACGAUGCAUAGCCGACCUGAGAGGGUGAUCGGCCACAUUGGGACUGAGACACGGCCCAAACUCCUACGGGAGGCAGCAGUAGGGAAUCUUCGGCAAUGGACGCAAGUCUGACCGAGCAACGCCGCGUGAGUGAAGAAGGUUUUCGGAUCGUAAAACUCUGUUGUUAGAGAAGAACAAGGAUGAGAGUAAAAUGUUCAUCCCUUGACGGUAUCUAACCAGAAAGCCACGGCUAACUACGUGCCAGCAGCCGCGGUAAUACGUAGGUGGCAAGCGUUGUCCGGAUUUAUUGGGCGUAAAGCGAGCGCAGGCGGUUUCUUAAGUCUGAUGUGAAAGCCCCCGGCUCAACCGGGGAGGGUCAUUGGAAACUGGGGAACUUGAGUGCAGAAGAGGAGAGUGGAAUUCCAUGUGUAGCGGUGAAAUGCGUAGAUAUAUGGAGGAACACCAGUGGCGAA
rnacentral:rRNA from 1 species